CGGUGUCAGACAAAGUAUAUUCACUGA
rnacentral:piRNA from 1 species